rnacentral:rRNA from 1 species
GAUGAACGCUGGCGGCGUGCCUAAUACAUGCAAGUCGAACGAACAGACGAUGAUCUUGCUCCUCUGACGUUAGCGGCGGGCGUGUGUGUAACACGUGUAUAACCCACCUAUAUGACUGGGAUAACUUCGGGAAACCGGAGCUAAUACCGGAUAAUAUAUUGAACCGCAUUGUUCAUUAGUGAAAUACGGUUUUUCUGUCACUUCUCGCUGGUUCCGCGCCGUAUUAGCUAGUUGGUAAGGUCACGGCUUACCAAGGCGACGAUGCGUAGCCGAACUGAGAGGGUGAUAGGCCACACUGGAACUGAGACACGGUCAAGACUACUACGGGAGGCAGCAGUAGGGAAUCGUACGCAAUGGGCGAAAGCAUGACGGAGCAAGGCCGAGUGAGUGAUGAAGGUGUUCGGAUCGUAAAACUCUGUUAUUAGGGAAGAACAAAUGUGGAAGUAAAUAUGCACGUAUUGACGGUACCUAAUCAGAAAGCAACGGCUAACUACGUG